rnacentral:rRNA from 1 species
UACGGAGGGGGCGAGCGUUACCCGGAUUUACUGGGUGUAAAGGGCGUGUAGGCGGUCUCUCAAGUCCGAUGCUAAAGACCGAAGCUCAACUUCGGGGGUGCGUUGGAUACUGUGAGGCUAGACGGUCGGAGAGGGUAGCGGAAUUUCCGGAGUAGCGGUGAAAUGCGCAGAUACCGGAAGGAACGCCAAUAGCGAAGGCAGCUACCUGGACGAUUUGUGACGCUGAGGCGCGAAAGCGUGGGGAGCAAACCGG